GAGGAAUUUUGCGCAAUGGGGGAAACCCUGACGCAGCAACGCCGCGUGAGUGAUGAAGGCUUUCGGGUCGUAAAGCUCUGUCAAGUGGGAAGAACAUGCUCGAUGUUAAUACCAUCGUGCACUGACGGUACCA
rnacentral:rRNA from 1 species